rnacentral:rRNA from 1 species
UACGGAGGGUGCAAGCGUUAAUCGGAAUUACUGGGCGUAAAGCGCACGCAGGUGGCUGAGUCAGUCGAUUGUGAAAGCCCUGGGCUUAACCUGGGAAUUGCAGUCGAUACUACUCAGCUAGAGUAUGGGAGAGGGCAGUGGAAUUCCCGGUGUAGCGGUGAGAUGCGUAGAUAUCGGGAGGAACAUCAGUGGCGAAGGCGGCUGCCUGGCCCAAUACUGACACUCAGGUGCGACAGCGUGGGGAGCAAACAGG